rnacentral:rRNA from 1 species
GUCCACGCCCUAAACGAUGCGAACUGGACGUUGGGAGCAAUCAGGCUCUCAGUGUCGAAGCUAACGCGUUAAGUUCGCCGCCUGGGGAGUACGGUCGCAAGACUGAAACUCAAAGGAAUUGACGGGGGCCCCGCACAAGCGGUGGAGUAUGUGGUUUAAUUCGAUGCAACGCGAAGAACCUUACCUGGCCUUGACAUCCACGGAAUCCUUUAGAGAUAGAGGAGUGCCUUCGGGAACCGUGAGACAGGUGCUGCAUGGCUGUCGU